GAGAGGCAUCUCUUAAAUAUCAAAGGUGAGCCAGUACAGGAUGGACCCGCGUCUGAUUAGUUAGUUGGUAAGGUAACGGCUUACCAAGGCGACGAUCAGUAGCCGACCUGAGAGGGUGAUCGGCCACAUUGGAACUGAGACACGGUCCAAACUCCUACGGGAGGCAGCAGUGGGGAAUAUUGCACAAUGGGCGAAAGCCUGAUGCAGCAACGCCGCGUGAGUGAUGAAGGCCUUCGGGUCGUAAAGCUCUGUCCUCAAGGAAGAUAAUGACGGUACUUGAGGAGGAAGCCCCGGCUAACUACGUGCCAGCAGCCGCGGUAAUACGUAGGGGGCUAGCGUUAUCCGGAUUUACUGGGCGUAAAGGGUGCGUAGGCGGUCUUUCAAGUCAGGAGUGAAAGGCUACGGCU
rnacentral:rRNA from 1 species